rnacentral:rRNA from 1 species
GAUGAACGCUGGCGGCGUGCCUAAUACAUGCAAGUCGAGCGAACAGACGGGGAGCUUGCUCCUCUGACGUUAGCGGCGGACGGGUGAGUAACACGUGGAUAACCUACCUAUAAGACUGGGAUAACUUCGGGAAACCGGAGCUAAUACCGGAUAAUAUAUUGAACCGCAUGGUUCAAUAGUGAAAGACGGUUUUGCUGUCACUUAUAGAUGGAUCCGCGCCGCAUUAGCUAGUUGGUAAGGUAACGGCUUACCAAGGCAACGAUGCGUAGCCGACCUGAGAGGGUGAUCGGCCACACUGGAACUGAGACGCGGUCCAGACUCCUACGGGAGGCAGCAGUAGGGAAUCUUCCGCAAUGGGCGAAAGCCUGACGGAGCAACGCCGCGUGAGUGAUGAAGGUCUUCGGAUCGUAAAACUCUGUUAUUAGGGAAGAACAAAUGUGUAAGUAACUAUGCACGUCUUGACGGUACCUAAUCAGAAAGCCACGGCUAACUACGUG